rnacentral:rRNA from 1 species
AAGACCUUGCACUUUUGGAGCGGCCGAUGUCUGAUUAGCUAGAUGGUGGGGUAAUGGCCUACCAAAGCUUCGAUCAGUAGCUGGUCUGAGAGGACGGCCAGCCACACUGGGACUGAGACACGGCCCAGACUCCUACGGGAGGCAGCAGUGGGGAAUUUUGGACAAUGGGCGCAAGCCUGAUCCAGCCAUGCCGCGUGAGUGAAGAAGGCCUUCGGGUUGUAAAGCUCUUUCAGCCGGGAAGAAAAGGUUGCGACUAAUAAUCGCAAUUCAUGACGGUACCGAAAGAAGAAGCACCGGCUAACUACGUGCCAGCAGCCGCGGUAAUACGUAGGGUGCGAGCGUUAAUCGGAAUUACUGGGCGUAAAGGGUGCGCAGGCGGUUUUGUAAGUCAGUUGUGAAAUCCCCGGGCUUAACCUGGGAACU